GUGGUGAGGGGAUGGUCUGUAAUGUGGCCGCUGAAGAAAUCAAGGAAGUGAAGGCGAAGGCCCUGGUGAUCAGGAAUUGUCUUGUGUGAGUUGGAAAGGAUGAGUGAAAUGCGCAGGCUUUGCCCACAGAUGGACUUGAGUUUGAAUCCUGACCUAGACAGGGUCUUCUCUCUCCUCUCCUCUCUACGGCAGCUUCCCAUCCCCUAAUGGUGGCCUCCAGGGUUUGUUCUCGGUGUCCUUGGCCGCCAUUUUGGAUUCUUCCCUCCCUCACAAAUGGCUCCCAGGCCCUGGCAUUCCUCGCCCCCCAGUCCUUCCAUUCACACUUGGUCUUUGGAAGGCCUCCAUCUUCUUCCUCACCUGCCUGGCUACACACCUGUAAUGAAGCCUGCUAGGGCCGGGCCACAAACAAGGCGCAGUGCAGAGACAGGACAGGAUCUGCCACAUUGCCAACCCCAAAGAGGUGCUCGGUGGAGAGGAGGCAGGUGUGCAAACAACCCGCUAAGAUGUAGUCCAGGGGCAUACGUGCCCUGCGUCGGACAGUUACACCGGGCUUGUGUCUGUAAGCACAGCUCUCUGGUUCACACGCCCCCUCUGCUAAGAGGCACAGCCCCUUGGGGAAGUCUACCCCGCCAAGUAGUUCCAAUAUUUCCACGGCUGAUUCGCAUACAGCUACAAUCCAGCCUGGCGGGUGCCACGAGGACUUGGGCUCCAAGGCGUCCUCUAAGCGUGUUGCCUUUGUUCCCACUCCGGCUGGCAGUCCUGGUGAGUCCCCUGCUGUCCUGCUGCCUCCGUCCAGCACUGGGGCUGAGACCCGGGGACCUCAGAAUGCCCAUGCUUCUGUACAGUGGGCAGGAGAGGGUGCUUUUCUGUCUUGUCUGCUGGAGGAGCCCAAAUCCCAGCUGCCUAGGGCCAGCAUCCCACACAGCUUCGCAGAACAGCUUCACCUACAGCUGCAGUUGGCUGGGGCUGCUAACCAGUCCCGGCAUCAGCCCCAGCAGGCAGGUGGAGAGCUUUUCUUC
rnacentral:lncRNA from 1 species